ACAACAUUCACGCACCAAAUGAGAUGUUGCUUUGAAUCUUUUGCAGUAGUGUAAAUAUAUAUUAAUUUGUGCAUAAAUAUGUUUUGAUCCUGGAAGAUCUUAGUAAGCUUUUCAAGCAGUAACUUCAUUUAUUGAUGGCUGUGUCCUUCUCUGAAUCAGUUAGCUCAGUCUUACAACAAAAAAUUGAAGAGCUUACCGCAAAUCUUUCAGGAUCAAGAUGUAUCUAUGCUGAUAUUUAUACUAUAUGGCUUCGAAAAUGCGAACUAUGCUUGCUGCCAUCUUAUAGGACCUCAUGGGGGACUGCUACCAUGUGGAAAUAUGUCACUAGUUUGUCCUGAAAGAACAAAGUAUGUCUUUCGGGAACCUUAUCAUCUAACUAAAACUGGAAAUCUAAAAGUAUGUCUUUCGGGAUCCUUAUCAUCUAACUGAAACUGGAAAUCUAAUUGCAGCAAAACAUCUGAUGCAUGGCGGCUUAAAUUACAGAUCACCGAUGAAUAUUCAACAAAUUCUGAAUUCUUGAAUUGUUCACAUAAAUGACGAGAAUUCCACAAUGUGAUGCUGAGUGUUUGUAAUGAUUGUGAAAAGGAAUGUCCAUCAGUUUAUUGAAUAAAGAGAAAUUUACUGUCCCUCAAA